UAAGCAUAUCAAUAAGCGGAGGAAAAGAAACCAACAGGGAUUGCCCCAGUAACGGCGAGUGAAGCGGCAACAGCUCAAAUUUGAAAUCUGGCUCACGCCCGAGUUGUAAUUUGGAGAGGAUGCUUCUGGCGCGACGCCCCCCGAGUUCCCUGGAACGGGACGCCAUAGAGGGUGAGAGCCCCGUACGGACGGACGUCAAGCCUCUGUGUAGCACCUUCGACGAGUCGAGUAGUUUGGGAAUGCUGCUCUAAGCGGGAGGUAAAUUUCUUCUAAAGCUAAAUACCGGCCCAAGACCGAUAGCGCACAAGUAGAGUGAUCGAAAGAUGAAAAGCACUUUGAAAAGAGGGUUAAACAGCACGUGAAAUUGUUGAAAGGGAAGCACUCGUGACUAGACUUGCGCCCGGCGGAUCAUCCAGCGCUCUGCGCUGGUGCACUUCGCCGGGCUCAGGCCAGCAUCGGCUCCCCCAGGCGGAUAAAAGCUCCGGGAACGUAGCUCCUCCGGGAGUGUUAUAGCCCGCUGCAGAAUACGCCUUGGGGGGCCGAGGUUCGCGCUCCGCAAGGAUGCUGGCGUAAUGGUCACCAGUGGCCCGUCUUGAAACACGGACCAAGGAGUCAAGCAUUAGGGCGAGUGUUUGGGUGUCAAACCCGCACGCGUAAUGAAAGUGAAUGCUGGUGAGAGCUUCGGCGCAUCAUCGACCGAUCCUGAUGUAUUCGGAUGGAUUUGAGUAGGAGCCUUACCGCUUGGACCCGAAAGUUGAUGAACUAUGCCUGUAUAGGGUGAAGCCAGAGGAAACUCUGGUGGAGGCUCGCAGCGGUUCUGACGUGCAAAUCGAUCGUCAAAUAUGGGCAUGGGGGCGAAAGACUAAUCGAAUCAACUAGUAGCUG
rnacentral:rRNA from 1 species